CAUGUAUUGGUACUUUUUUCCUUUUUAUGGCUGAAUCGUAUUCCAUUGUGUAAACAGACUGCAUUUUGUUUAUCCACUCAUCUGGACAUCUGGGCUGUUCCCACCUUUGGGCUACUGUGAAUGGAGUUACUAUGGACAUGUGCGCACAAGUUCUUGUUUGAAGACCUGAUUUCGUCUCUUUUGGCUACACACCUAAGGAGUGGAGCUGCGGGGUCACGAGAUGACUGUUUACCUUUCGGAGGAACAGCACACCCUGCUCAUUGCACCCAUUUGACGUGACUUAAGUUCGAGCUGUGGCAGUCAGACCGGGGCCAAGGUGACAUCGGAGAGUAAACACGGUUAUUUUUGGAUAUUUUCGGUUUCUUCUCAUCUCCUGUCAUUCGGGAUGUGUAAAGCGGAGGAGAACAGGCUGAGAGGGGCCAUCUGAUAAACUGCCCCUCGGAUGGAGAAACUGGCCCGUGGAGCUGGCCCUGCCAGGGAUCUUUGUCAGUUUUGUUCCUUGACGUAUCUCAACCCUAAAACAGUGGUUGGCACACAGCUGAUGCUCAGUAACUAUUUGCCGCAUGAAUAAAGAAGCACAAUGAACUGUUUCAAGUGCUCUAAAAUCCCAAGAAAAUGGACAUUCGUCAGCUAGAACCAGAGAGAAUGGACCAACAUUGCAGCCAGAAGGGUCUCAGCCCCUCCUUCAAGCCCCCAGCAGAUGACACACGCAUCCACGUUGUCUUGCAAAACAACAGCCCGGUGUCUGGUGGGACCUGGGAAAGGAAGAGUCCUGGAGGUAGAUGAAACUGUGUUACGUUUGAUUACUUAGACGAAGCCAAAUGAUUGCCAAGUCACGUGUGAGGCAAGAAACACGGGUGCGUGGCAAAGCCUACAGGAGUAUCUGAAGACUGGAAAGAAAUUCGGGACACGAUAGCGGACAAUGGUGUGAGAAGUGGUGCGUCACUACACUCCUGAUGGCCCAGAGGGUGAUGCCGGGUAGGAAAACACUGAGGAUUCUGAAUCAAAAAGAAAUUUAGGGAAGUUGGACUCUGAAUGUGAAGACAUUUGGGGACUAUUUUAGCCAACUUGUUUUACCUAUCAUUUCCUUUCUGGUACAGGCAUAAGAGUGAUUUUGACUUCGAAAAAAAAAAGGGAUAUUGAAAUAAAUCUGAGAAAAUUCUUUCA
rnacentral:lncRNA from 12 species